UGGGGAAUAUUGCACAAUGGGCGCAAGCCUGAUGCAGCCAUGCCGCGUGUAUGAAGAAGGCCUUCGGGUUGUAAAGUACUUUCAGCGGGGAGGAAGGGAGUAAAGUUAAUACCUUUGCUCCUUGACGUUACCCGCAGAAGAAGCACCGGCUAACUCCGUGCCAGCAGCCGCGGUAAUACGGAGGGGGCAAGCGUUAAUCGGAAUUACUGGGCGUAACGCGCACGCAGGCGGUUUGUUAAGUCAGAUGUGAAAUCCCCGGGCUCAACCUGGGAACUGCAUCUGAUACUGGCAAGCUUGAGUCUCGUAGAGGGGGGUAGAAUUCCGGGUGUAGCGGUGAAAUGCGUAGAGAUCUGGAGGAAUACCGGUGGCGAAGGCGGCCCCCUGGACGAAGACUGACGCUCAGGUGCGAAAGCGUGGGGAGCAAACAGG
rnacentral:rRNA from 1 species